AAGUAGCACAGCAAAAGAAAAGGAAUUUUCAGUUUAACUAGAGCACUGACAUUCUGUUACACAAUUCGAUCUUGUCUAUUUACCGGCUCUUAAAAACCAGAAGACACUAAACAACAACAACAACAACAAAAACAAAAACAAAAAAAAAGGGGGGGGGGGGGAGCAAGCUGAAUGCAUCCAGCCGGCAGUGCCAUAGGUGUCUGAAUGCAUCUGUAGCUUCCCUCUCACUCAUCAGUGUAAUUGUUGUCAUGUUAUUCCAUUUUUUGAUUAGGCUGGUCCGCCAAGCUCCCAGCUUUUCCUGGCCAAACGUUCUUCUGCUGGUUGUCAUGGUGACUGCAUUGUUCCCGGGGAGAAAGGCUCUGUUGUCUGGCAUUGUUCUGUUGUGCUUUAGGUAAUGCACGAGGCAUCACAAGUGAAGUGGAUGGACCUUUUUUGCUCGGCAUCAUUGCCGAGUAUUGAAAAUCUCACAUAAAAAAGGAGCAAAUAGGCCCUGACCAAAGAAAUAACCAAGUUCUUUUUUUAUUCUCUCUUUUUUUUUUUUUAAAGAAAGCACGCAUUAUUAUAAAGAGACUGUUUGUUGAGCCCAGCAGGGCUGGGUCCAUCCCACACCAUGUGUGCCUCCUGUACUGGGGACUGCUGGUGGUACACACUUGGCACCCUAGAGAAGAUUUUGCCUCUUAGCAGGACUUACUAGGUCAAGCCACAGUGACACAGCUACUGCGGCUCUGCAGUUGCCAGACCAGGAUUGUCUUACACCUCUUUGACUUGAAGUGCACAAAAAGUGAUGUGUAACUCUUUACACCUUCCAGGUAGGUGGUGAGCAGUUGGUUCCCAUGCAAUUGCUGAAGCCUGAAAGGUGAUUUCAGACAUCACUGCCCAUAUUUCAACUCUCAGACACAUGGGUCAACAUCAGAAUUUCUAAAAUCUCUCCU